GAAAUCACUCACUCAGCCUCCAGCCCUCCCUCACGCAGCCCUCCCUCACGCAGCUCUCCCUCACUCCCUCACUCCCUCACGCAGCUGUCCUUCACUCCCUCACGCAGCUCUCCCUCACUCCCUCACUCCGACUGGCAGCUCUCCCUCACUCCGUCGCCCAUCUCCAGUCACCCAUCUCCAGUCACGCACAGCUCUCCCUCACUCCCUCACGCAGCUCACGCAGCUCUCCCUCACUCCCUCACUCCGCAGCUCAUCUCCAGGAACAUUUGGAUGAUAAGCAUCUGAGUCGAUUCUUGGAAGCUGAUACCCUUGUCAAUCUCAACGAAUCCACUUAACGAACCACCUCACUAAUAUAAUAAAGAUCCUAAAAUGGAGAUGGAAGACACAAACAAAUCUGGUUCUAGCUAUUGUAGGUUCUUCAACUAUGUCCGGAGAUUGUACCGUUCAAACAAUUCUUGAUGAUGGGGAGCCUAAUGAAGAGGAUGGGAGUUGUGUCACAAUUAUGGAUGAUUAGACAUUUUGUAAUAAUUUAGUAGCCAUUUUAAUUUCUUAAACUUGUUGGAUUAAUUUGUUGGUUUGUAAUUAUUUUAAGUCUUUUUAGCAUUUUGUAAUUUUUUAGCCUUUUUAAUUUGUUGGUUUGUGGAGGAUAAGACAUUUUGUAAUUUCUUACACUUGUAGGAUUUGUUUUGUAACUUUUUAUUUUUGAAUUUCUUGAACUUGUUGGACUUUUGAUACUUAGUUCUUGGACUUAUUGGAUUUAUUUUAUUUUUAUGUUUAGUUGGUGAUUUUA